rnacentral:sRNA from 1 species
GUCGUGAGAUGUUGGGUUAAGUCCCGCAACGAGCGCAACCCCCGUCCCAUGUUGCCAGCAUUAAGUUGGGGACUCAUGGGAGACUGCCGGUGACAAACCGGAGGAAGGUGGGGAUGACGUCAAGUCAUCAUGCCCCUUAUGUCCAGGGCUACACACGUGCUACAUUGGCCGAUACAGAGGGUUGCGAUGCCGUGAGGUGGAGCGAAUCCCAAAAAGUCGGUCUCGGUUCGGAUUGGAGGCUGAAACUCGCCUGCAUGAAGGCGGAGUUGCUAGUAAUCGCGGAUCAGCAUUGCCGCGGUGAAUACGUUCCCGGGCCUUGUACACACCGCCCGUCACACCACGGGAGUGAGCAACACCCGAAGCCGGUGGCCUAACCCGCAAGGGAGGGAGCCGUCGAAGGUGGGGCUCGUGACUGGGGUGAAGUCGUAACAAGGUAGCCGUAGCGGAAGCUGCGGCUGGAUCACCUCCUUUCUAGGGAGCACCAAGCGGUGCCCCGAUCCAGCGGCCAGCAUUGGCCGCGCGCGGUCGCCCGCCCUCGAGGCGCGGCGAUGUCCAAGCGGAUCGGGCCUAGCAUGUCGACCGAACCUGGCUGGACGGCUCACCGCCGCCCGUCUCCCUGACUACUUGGGAGCGCGAUCGGUGAUGGGCCACACAACGACCUCAGCAUGCUGUUGAGUUUUGAGAGACCGGCGCCCGCCGGCGCUCGUGGGACACGCCGAUCAGUGCGUGACCGUAAACGCGAGAGCCGGCCGGCGUUUACGCCUCUUCACGGUCCUUGAAAACUGCACAGAAGCCACAUCAGCCGCCAUCGAUAAGCGGCGGCUGAAAAACGGGUAUCACCGGGCCCCAUGUGACUGCCGGCGCUCCGACAGGGGCGUCAUGGUCAUGUUGGGUCAGAAUCACCAGAAUUACUGUCAAGAUAGUAAGGGCACACGGUGGAUGCCUUGGCACCAAGAGUCGAUGAAGGGCGUUAACGGCUGCGAUAAGCCACGGUUAGGCGCUGAAUAGCCUUUGACCCGUGGAUUC